rnacentral:rRNA from 1 species
GACGAACGCUGGCGGCGUGCCUAAUACAUGCAAGUCGAACGGUCUUUUCUAUGGAAGCUUGCUUCCACUGAGAAGAUAGUGGCGAACGGGUGAGUAACACGUGGGUAACCUGCCCAUAAGAGGGGGAUAACAUCCGGAAACGGGUGCUAAUACCGCAUAGUUUUCUUGAUCGCAUGAUCGGGAAAGGAACGACGGCCUUUGUGCUGUCGCUUAUGGAUGGAUCCGCGGCGUAUUAGUUAGUUGGUGAGGUAAUGGCUCACCAAGACGAUGAUACGUAGCCGACCUGAGAGGGUGAUCGGCCACAUUGGGACUGAGACACGGCCCAAACUCCUACGGGAGGCAGCAGUAGGGAAUCUUCCGCAAUGGACGAAAGUCUGACGGAGCAACGCCGCGUGAGUGAAGAAGGUUUUCGGAUCGUAAAACUCUGUUGUCAGAGAAGAACAAGUUGGAGAGUAACUGCUCCAGCCUUGACGGUAUCUGACCAGAAAGCCACGGCUAACUACGUGCCAGCCGCCGCCGUAACAC